AUUCCAGCUCCAAUAGCGUAUAUUAAAGUUGUUGCAGUUAAAAAGCUCGUAGUUGGAUUUCUGACAGGGGGCCGAACACCACUGUAGUGAGUGUUUUGGUACCUGUCAUCCUUCUGUUAACCCUAGCGUCAUUCAUUUGUCGUUGGGCGGACCAGAUACUUUACCUUGAGAAAAUUAGAGUGUUUCAGGCAGGCCUAGCCGGAAUACAUUAGCAUGGAAUAAUGGAAUAGGACUAUAGUCUCGUCGCUGGUUACGUGGACUGCAGUAAUGAUUAAUAGGGAUAGUUGGGGGCGUUUAUAUUCCGUUGUCAGAGGUGAAAUUCUUGGAUUUACGGAAGAUAACUACUGCGAAAGCAUUCGCCAAGGAUGUUUUCAUUA
rnacentral:rRNA from 1 species